rnacentral:rRNA from 1 species
AGUGAACGCUGGCGGUAGGCCUAACACAUGCAAGUCGAACGGCAGCACAGUAAGAGCUUGCUCUUACGGGUGGCGAGUGGCGGACGGGUGAGGAAUACAUCGGAAUCUACUUUUUCGUAGGGGAUAACGUAGGGAAACUUACGCUAAUACCGCAUACGACCUACGGGUGAAAGCAGGGGAUCUUCGGACCUUGCGCGAUUGAAUGAGCCGAUGUCGGAUUAGCUAGUUGGCGGGGUAAAGGCCCACCAAGGCGACGAUCCGUAGCUGGUCUGAGAGGAUGAUCAGCCACACUGGAACUGAGACACGGUCCAGACUCCUACGGGAGGCAGCAGUGGGGAAUAUUGGACAAUGGGCGCAAGCCUGAUCCAGCCAUACCGCGUGGGUGAAGAAGGCCUUCGGGUUGUAAAGCCCUUUUGUUGGGAAAGAAAAGCAGCAGGCUAAUACCCCGCUGUUCUGACGGUACCCAAAGAAUAAGCACCGGCUAACUUCGUG